rnacentral:rRNA from 1 species
UAGGUUAACGAGGCGAACCGGGGGAACUGAAACAUCUAAGUACCCCGAGGAAAAGAAAUCAACCGAGAUUCCCCCAGUAGCGGCGAGCGAACGGGGAGCAGCCCGGAGUCUGAAUCAGCUUGUGUGUUAGUGGAACGGUCUGGAAAGUCCGACGGUACAGGGUGAUAGUCCCGUACACGAAAACACACAUGCUGUGAACUCGAAGAGUAGGGCGGGACACGUGGUAUCCUGUCUGAAUAUGGGGGGACCAUCCUCCAAGGCUAAAUACUCCUGACUGACCGAUAGUGAACCAGUACCGUGAGGGAAAGGCGAAAAGAACCCCGGCGAGGGGAGUGAAAAAGAACCUGAAACCGUGUACGUACAAGCAGUGGGAGCACCUUCGGGUGUGACUGCGUACCUUUUGUAUAAUGGGUCAGCGACUUAUAUUCUGUAGCAAGGUUAACCGUAUAGGGGAGCCGAAGGGAAACCGAGUCUUAACUGGGCGUUAAGUUGCAGGGUAUAGACCCGAAACCCGGUGAUCUAGCCAUGGGCAGGUUGAAGGUUGGGUAACACUAACUGGAGGACCGAACCGACUAAUGUUGAAAAAUUAGCGGAUGACCUGUGGCUGGGGGUGAAAGGCCAAUCAAACCGGGAGAUAGCUGGUUCUCCCCGAAAGCUAUUUAGGUAGCGCCUCGUGAACUCAUCUUCGGGGGUAGAGCACUGUUUCGGCUAGGGGGCCAUCCCGGCUUACCAACCCGAUGCAAACUACGAAUACCGAAGAAUGUUAUCACGGGAGACACACGGCGGGUGCUAACGUCCGUCGUGAAGAGGGAAACAACCCAGACCGCCAGCUAAGGUCCCAAAGUCAUGGUUAAGUGGGAAACGAUGUGGGAAGGCACAGACAGCCAGGAUGUUGGCUUAGAAGCAGCCAUCAUUUAAAGAAAGCGUAAUAGCUCACUGGUCGAGUCGGCCUGCGCGGAAGAUGUAACGGGGCUAAACCAUG